GAUGAACGCUAGCGGCAGGCUUAACACAUGCAAGUCGAGGGGCAGCACGUCUUCGGAUGGUGGCGACCGGCGCACGGGUGCGUAACGCGUAUACAACCUACCUUAUAGAGGGGAGUAGCCCAGAGAAAUUUGGAUUAAUGCCCCAUAGUAUUAUUGAAUAGCAUUAUUUGAUGAUUAAACAUUUAUGGCUAUAAGAUGGGUAUGCGUUCUAUUAGCUAGAUGGUAAGGUAACGGCUUACCAUGGCGACGAUAGAUAGGGGUCCUGAGAGGGAGAUCCCCCACACUGGUACUGAGACACGGACCAGACUCCUACGGGAGGCAGCAGUGAGGAAUAUUGGACAAUGGGCGAGAGCCUGAUCCAGCCAUGCCGCGUGCAGGAAGACGGCCCUAUGGGUUGUAAACUGCUUUUAUACGGGAAGAAACACUCCUUCGUGAAGGAGCUUGACGGUACCGUAAGAAUAAGGAUCGGCUAACUCCGUGCCAUCAGCCGAC
rnacentral:rRNA from 1 species